rfam:Aphanomyces astaci strain APO3 cont1.2836, whole genome shotgun sequence.
CCGAGCAUAGCUCAGUUGGUAGAGCGUUUGACUGUAGUGGAAAAUCAUGCUGGUUUCAGUAUGACAUUGGAAAUCAAAUGGCCACCGGUUCGAUUCCGGUUGCUCGGA